rnacentral:lncRNA from 1 species
AUUCACGCUGAGGGUCACAAUGUGUGUUUAUGCCUUCUAAAAGCUCAGGCAUGGGCGGGGACUCAUGGUGCACACUGUUGCUCCUACACUGAACGUUGGACUCCAUGCCAACCACAUGUAUUCUUGCCAUGGGGAAGUAGUAGUUCUGAUUUUUCACCUCUUUCACCCCUGGGCAGUUAUUGGAGUUAAGGUCUAGGUUGUGUAGUCUGAAAACCGAGCUUGGGAAGAGAUGACGACUUAGGUCCAUGUCGGGUCCGACGUGCUCAGUGUGGAGCCAGCUGGCUGAGUGUUGGUCGGGAGGUUCAGGCCUAGGCUGCGUCAGACCAGGCAUUAGUUUUCAGGGUAUAUUGUAUAAUUGGGAUACAGUCGACUGCCGUGCAGGUUGAUCCUCAUUUAGCGUUUCUGGGUAGCCCCAAGGGCAACGUUUUUCUUCUGGAGGGCAGGCAGAGUGCUGCAUUGUGGCUCCGGAAUUCCCAAACUGGAUGCCCUGUGGGCAAGGAGUGUGAGGACCGAAGUAUAAGAACACAAGUUAGGCGUAGGUUUCGGGGCGAGGGUACAGCAGGCACUCUCUGCAGAUCUGAAUCGGGAAUUCGUGCAUCUGAAUUCAGGGCGUGUUUCAGACCUAGGCU